GGUCAAGCUACAAAGAGCUAACGGUGGAUACCUAGGCACACAGAGGCGAAGAAGGACGUGGCGACCGACGAAACGCUCCGGGGAGUUGGAAGCAAGCUGUGAACCGGAGAUCUCCGAAUGGGGCAACCCAAUAACGGGUGAGUAAAUACAUAGCUCACCACGAGCGAACCCAGCGAACUGAAACAUCUUAGUAGCUGGUGGAAGAGAAAGCAAAAGCGAUUCCCCUAGUAGCGGCGAGCGAAGCGGGACCAGCCUAAACCAUCCAGUAUAUCUAGAUGGGGUCGUGGGACAAGAAUCAGGGAAUUCUUAAGCUAGACGAAGCUGUUGAAUGCAGCACCAGAGAAGGUGAAAGUCCUGUAAUUGAAAGUGGCAGAAUACCUCUUGAAUCCCGAGUAGCCAGGGGCACGUGAAAUCCCUGGUGAAUCAGCGAGGACCACCUCGUAAGGCUAAAUACUCCUGUGUGACCGAUAGUGAAAAAGUACCGCGAGGGAAAGGUGAAAAGAACCCCGGAAGGGGAGUGAAAUAGAACAUGAAACCGUUAGCUUACAAGCAAUGGAAGGACGAUUUAACGUCUGACCGUGUGCCUGUUGAAGAAUGAGCCGGCGAGUUACAGGUUGUGGCAGGUUAAGGCUUAAACAGCUGUAGCCAAAGCGAAAGCGAGUCUGAAUAGGGCGUAUUAAGUCACAAUUUGUAGACCCGAACCCGGGUGAUCUAACCAUGUCCAGGAUGAAGCUUGGGUAACACCAAGUGAAGGUCCGCACCGACCGAUGUUGAAAAAUCGGCGGAUGAGGUGUGGUUAGGGGUGAAAUGCCAAUCGAACCCGGAGCUAGCUGGUUCUCCCCGAAAUGUGUUGAGGCGCAGCGGUUAGGGCUAUAGCUGGGGGGUAAAGCACUGUUUCGGUGCGGGCUGCGAGAGCGGUACCAAAUCGAGACAAACUCUGAAUACCCAGUGUGUACCUAGCCAGUGAGACGGUGGGGGAUAAGCUUCAUCGUCAAGAGGGAAACAGCCCAGACCACCAGCUAAGGCCCCCAAAUGAAGGCUAAGUGAUUAAGGAGGUGGGAGUGCAAAGACAACCAGGAGGUUUGCCUAGAAGCAGCCAUCCUUGAAAGAGUGCGUAAUAGCUCACUGGUCAAGCGCUCCUGCGCCGAAAAUGAACGGGGCUAAGUCUUCUGCCGAAGCUGUGGGAUAUGAAUAAUAUCGGUAGGGGAGCGUUCCGCCUUAGGGUGAAGCACUAGCGGCAAGCAGGUGUGGACGAAGCGGAAGUGAGAAUGUCGGCUUGAGUAGCGCAAACUAGGGUGAGAAUCCCUAGCCCCGAAACCCCAAGGUUUCCUCCGGAAGGCUCGUCCACGGAGGGUUAGUCAGGGCCUAAGGCGAGGCCGAAAGGCGUAGUCGAUGGAUAACGGGUUAACAUUCCCGUACCGUUACAAGUUGGUGCCGGAGGACGGAGAAGGCGGCUUUCAUCCAGGUAUUGGUUGUCCUGGUGCAAACAUUCAAGGCUUUGAGGUCUGGUGAAAACAGACUGAGCUUAGGUGUGAGUCCGAGUCGCUACGGCGACGAAGUGAACAGCGUCAUACUUCCUAGAAAAGCCCGAAACACCUUAAACUUUUAAUGCCUGUACCCCAAACCGACACAGGUGGGGAAGUAGAGUAUACUAAGGGGCGCGAGAUAACUCUCUCUAAGGAACUCGGCAAAAUGACCCCGUAACUUCGGGAGAAGGGGUACCCUCGCAAGAGGGUCGCAGUGAAUAGAUCCAGGCGACUGUUUACCAAAAACACAGGUCUCCGCUAACUCGCAAGAGGAUGUAUGGGGGCUGACGCCUGCCCAGUGCCGGAAGGUUAAGGAAGUUGGUCAGCGUAAGCGAAGCUAGCGACUGAAGCCCCGGUGAACGGCGGCCGUAACUAUAACGGUCCUAAGGUAGCGAAAUUCCUUGUCGGGUAAGUUCCGACCCGCACGAAAGGCGUAACGAUCUGGAUGCUGUCUCGGAGAGAGACUCGGCGAAAUAGGAUUGUCUGUGAAGAUACGGACUACCUGCACUUGGACAGAAAGACCCUAUGAAGCUUUACUGUAGCCUGGCAUUGUGUUCGGGCUUCGCUUGCGCAGGAUAGGUGGGAGGCAGAGAACGUUCUCUUGUGGGAGAACGGGAGCCGUCCGUGAGAUACCACUCUGGCGAGGCUAGGAUUCUAACCAUUUCCCGUUACCCGGGAGUGGGACAUUUUCAGGUGGGCAGUUUGACUGGGGCGGUCGCCUCCUAAAAGGUAACGGAGGCGCGCAAUGGUUCCCUCAGGCUGGUUGGAAAUCAGCCAUCGAGUGCAAAGGCAUAAGGGAGCUUGACUGCAAGAGUGACAACUCGAGCAGGGACGAAAGUCGGCCUUAGUGAUCCGACGGCGCUACGUGGAAAGGCCGUCGCUCAACGGAUAAAAGUUACUCUAGGGAUAACAGGCUGAUCUCCCCCAAGAGUCCACAUCGACGGGGAGGUUUGGCACCUCGAUGUCGGCUCAUCGCAACCUGGGGCGGAAGUACGUCCCAAGGGUUGGGCUGUUCGCCCAUUAAAGCGGUACGUGAGCUGGGUUCAGAACGUCGUGAGACAGUUCGGUCCAUAUCCGGUGCAGGCGCAAGAGCAUUGAGAGGAGCCCUCCUUAGUACGAGAGGACCGGGAGGGACGCACCGCUGGUCUGCCAGUUAUCGUGCCAACGGUAAACGCUGGGUAGCCAUGUGCGGAGCGGAUAACCGCUGAAAGCAUCUAAGUGGGAAGCCCACCUCAAGAUGAUUGCUCUCAUGGGGUUUACCCAGUAAGGUCACAGGAAGAACACCUGUUUAUAGGCGCUCGGUGGAAGAUCAGUAAUGAUUGCAGCUUAGGCGUACUAACAGACCGAGGGCUUGACCUA
rnacentral:rRNA from 1 species